GAUGAACGCUGGCGGCGUGCCUAAUACAUGCAAGUCGAGCGAACAGACGAGGAGCUUGCUCCUCUGACGUUAGUGGCGGACGGGUGAGUAACACGUGGAUAACCUACCUAUAAGACUGGGAUAACUUCGGGAAACCGGAGCUAAUACCGGAUAAUAUAUUGAACCGCAUGGUUCAAUAGUGAAAGACGGUUUUGCUGUCACUUAUAGAUGGAUCCGCGCCGCAUUAGCUAGUUGGUAAGGUAACGGCUUACCAAGGCAACGAUGCGUAGCCGACCUGAGAGGGUGAUCGGCCACACUGGAACUGAGACACGGUCCAGACUCCUACGGGAGGCAGCAGUAGGGAAUCUUCCGCAAUGGGCGAAAGCCUGACGGAGCAAAGCCGCGUGAGUGAUGAAGGUCUUCGGAUCGUAAAACUCUGUUAUUAGGGAAGAACAAAUGUGUAAGUAACUAUGCACGUCUUGACGGUACCUAAUCAGAAAGCCACGGCUAACUACGUG
rnacentral:rRNA from 1 species